rnacentral:rRNA from 1 species
AUUGAACGCUGGCGGCAGGCUUAACACAUGCAAGUCGAGCGGGGUGAUGGUGCUUGCACUAUCACUUAGCGGCGGACGGGUGAGUAAUGCUUAGGAAUCUGCCUAUUAGUGGGGGACAACAUCUCGAAAGGGAUGCUAAUACCGCAUACGUCCUACGGGAGAAAGCAGGGGAUCACUUGUGACCUUGCGCUAAUAGAUGAGCCUAAGUCGGAUUAGCUAGGUGGUGGGGUAAAGGCCUACCAAGGCGACGAUCUGUAGCGGGUCUGAGAGGAUGAUCCGCCACACUGGGACUGAGACACGGCCCAGACUCCUACGGGAGGCAGCAGUGGGGAAUAUUGGACAAUGGGGGGAACCCUGAUCCAGCCAUGCCGCGUGUGUGAAGAAGGCCUUAUGGUUGUAAAGCACUUUAAGCGAGGAGGAGGCUCUUUUGGUUAAUACCCAAGAUGAGUGGACGUUACUCGCAGAAUAAGUACCGGCUAACUCUGUGCCAGCCGCCGCGGUAA